rnacentral:rRNA from 1 species
AUACGGAGGGUGCGAGCGUUGUUCGGAAUUAUUGGGCGUAAAGAGCAUGUAGGCGGUCUGUUAAGUCUGGUGUGAAAGCCCGGGGCUCAACCCCGGAGGUGCAUUGGAUACUGGCAGACUUGAGUAUGGGAGAGGAAAGCGGAAUUCCGAGUGUAGGAGUGAAAUCCGUAGAUAUUCGGAGGAACACCAGUGGCGAAGGCGGCUUUCUGGACCAAUACUGACGCUGAGAUGCGAAAGCGUGGGGAGCAAACAGGAUUAGAAACCCCGGUAGUCC